rnacentral:tRNA from 1 species
GGGGAUUUAGCUCAGCGGCAUAAGCGCCUGCCUUGUAAGCACGAAGUCGUGAGUUCAAUCCCUG